GGCAUAUGGCAUAGUGGUUUGAGAGUGCUGGGUUAUGUCUCUAGAAAUCAGGGUUCAAAUCCCUGCUUGGCCA